UUCACUUGCAUGGGAGUUAAGACUCACAUCAGCAGUCACUUCCAGUUAUUAGGGACACACCAUUACCAGCUGUUCCCUCCUCCCUAGCAGUAGCCUGUCCUUUAGGGGUCAAGACUCACAUCAGCAGUCACUUCCAGUUAUUAGGGACACACCAUUACCAGCUGUUCCCUCCUCCCUAGCAGUAGAUUAUUGGCAGAAUAUUGUAAAAAAUUAAACAUAACAAAACUAACCCAAACUAAUCAGUAAAAUUCCAGAAUAACACCCGGCCCACUACGAAGGACGCCUUUGUGCAGUAUUUGCGUCCUUUAUUGCCGCUUGCCAUUUGGUGUUUUUUUCUUUGAUUUUAUUGUUUUUUGGUUUGUUUGAGCGUUUUGAUCCAUCGUUUGUUGUGGAGACGAAUAAUUAUAAUAGCCACAGUAAGACCACGUUGAUCUUGGCCCUCGACUCUACGGCCACCGUGUCAUGUGCAGGCCGCUCUGGCCUGAAUGGUGUCAGGUUAGGUCAGGUUAGGCUGGAUUUCAUUUGGUGAGGUCAGGUUAUCCUGGAUUUCAUUUGGUGAGGUCAGGUUAUGCUGGAUUUCAUUUGGUGAGGUCAGGUUAUCCUGGAUUUCAUUUGGUGAGGUCAGGUUAUCCUGGAUUUCAUUUGGUUAGGUCAGGUUAUCCUGGAUUUCAUUUGGUGAGGUCAGGUUAUGCUGGAUUUGAUUUGGUGAGGUCAGGUUAGGUUGGAUUUCAUUUGGUGAGGUCAGGUUAGGCUGGAUUUCAUUUGGUGAGGUCAGGUAAUGCUGGAUUUCAUUUGGUGAGGUCAGGUAAUGCUGGAUUUGAUUUGGUGAGGUCAGGUUAUCCUGGAUUUCAUUUGGUGAGGUCAGGUUAUGCUGGAUUUCAUUUGGUGAGGUCAGGUUAUCCUGGAUUUCAUUUGGUGAGGUCAGGUUAUGCUGGAUUUCAUUUGGUGAGGUCAGGUUAUCCUGGAUUUCAUUUGGUGAGGUCAGGUUAUGCUGGAUUUCAUUUGGUGAGGUCAGGUUAUCCUGGAUUUCAUUUGGUUAGGUCAGGUUAUCCUGGAUUUCAUUUGGUGAGGUCAGGUUAUCCUGGAUUUCAUUUGGUUAGGUCAGGUUAUCCUGGAUUUCAUUUGGUGAGGUCAGGUUAUCCUGGAUUUCAUUUGGCCAGGUCAGGUUAUCCUGGAUUUCAUUUGGUUAGGUCAGGCUAGAGUUCAUUUGGCCAGGUCAGGUUAUGCUGGAUAUAGUUAGUUUAUAUGCUGGAUUUCAUUUGGUUAGGUCAGAGUAGGUUAGAUUUAGAUUGGUUAGAUCAGAUAUCGUCAAGCUAGGCUAGAUUUAGUUUAUUUAGGUCAGGUUACACUAGAUUUGCUUUGGUCAGGUCAGAUCAGCUUAGAUUUAGUUUAUUUAGGUCAGGUUACACUAGAUUUGCUUUGGUCAGGUCAGAUCAGCUUAGAUUUAGUUUAUUUAGGUCAGGUUACACUAGAUUUGCUUUGGUCAGGUCAGAUCAGCUUAGAUUUAGUUUAUUUAGGUCAGGUUACACUAGAUUUGCUUUGGUCAGGUCAGAUCAGCUUAGAUUUAGUUUAUUUAGGUCAGGUUACACUAGAUUUGCUUUGGUCAGGUCAGAUCAGCUUAGAUUUAGUUUAUUUAGGUCAGGUUACGCUAGAUUUGCUUUGGUCAGGUCAGAUCAGCUUAGAUUUAGUUUAUUUAGGUCAGGUUACGCUAGAUUUGCUUUGGUCAGGUCAGGUUAGAUUAGUUUGGUCAGGUCAGGUCAGGUGAGAUUAGUUUGGUCAGGUCAGGUUAGAUUUAGUUUGGUUAGGUCAGGUCAGGUUUUAUUUAGUUUGGUUAGGUCAGGUUUGAUUUAGUUUGGUUAGGUCAGGUCAGGUUAGAUUAGUUUGGUCAGGUCAGGUGAGAUUAGUUUGGUCAGGUCAGGUCAGGUUAGAUUUAGUUUGGUUAGGUCAGGUCAGGUUUGAUUUAGUUUGGUUAGGUCAGGUUUGAUUUAGUUUGGUUAGGUCAGGUCAGGUUUUAUUUAGUUUGGUUAGGUCAGGUUUUAUUUAGUUUGGUUAGGUCAGGUCAGGUUUUAUUUAGUUUGGUCAGGUCAGGUCAGGUUUUAUUUAGUUUGGUUAGGUCAGGUCAGGUUUUAUUUAGUUUGGUCAGGUCAGGUCAGGUUAGAUUUAGUUUGGUUAGGUCAGGUCAGGUUUUAUUUAGUUUGGUUAGGUCAGGUCAGGUUUUAUUUAGUUUGGUUAGGUCAGGUCAGGUUUAGUGUUUUCCGGUAAUACGUGUGGCAGGCUUCACGCUGUGCCGGUGUUGUCACUGGCGGCAGAGGGUCACGCCGCCUGCUGCUGCACGGGAUCACACACACAUUUCACGGUUCUUUUCACACUUGCUUUUUCUUUCUCUUCACUCUUUCCUGUGGUUUUCCGGGAGGUUUAAAGUUAAGGAGAAAAUAUGUAUGACAGCAGAUGAAGUAGGAAAUGAGAUAUUGGCGCGUGAAUAAUGGCAGUCUUGACCCCAUUGUCACG